UCCCUAGUGGCUCAGAUGGUAAAGCAUCUGCCUGCAAUGCGGGAGACCCAGGUUCGAUCCCUAGGUCGGGAA
rnacentral:tRNA from 1 species